rnacentral:rRNA from 1 species
AUUGAACGCUGGCGGCAGGCCUAACACAUGCAAGUCGAACGAGCGGCGGACGGGUGAGUAAUGUCUGGGAAACUGCCUGAUGGAGGGGGAUAACUACUGGAAACGGUAGCUAAUACCGCAUACCAUCAGAUGUGCCCAUAUGGGAUUAGCUAGUUGGUGGGGUAACGGCUCACCAAGGCGACGAUCGCUAGCUGGUCUGAGAGGAUGAGCAGCAACACUGGAACUGAGACACGGUCCAGACUCCUACGGGAGGCAGCAGUGGGGAAUAGUGCAAAAUGGGCGCAAGCCUGAUGCAGCCAUGCCGCGUGUAUGAAGAAGGCCUUCGGGUUGUAAAGUACUUUCAGCGGGGAGGCGUUACCCGCAGAAGAAGCACCGGCUAACGCCGUGCCAGCAGCCGCGGUAAUAC